AGGACGAACGCUGGCGGCGUGCUUAACACAUGCAAGUCGAACGCGUGUAGCAAUACACGAGUGGCGCACGGGUGAGUAACGCGUGGAUAUCUGCCUUUUGGUUCGGAAUAACCCCGGGAAACUGGGGCUAAUACCGGAUGGUUCCUACGGGAUAAAGAUUUAUCGCCAAAAGAUGAGUCCGCGUCCGAUUAGCUAGUUGGUGGGGUAAUGGCCUACCAAGGCGACGAUCGGUAGCUGGUCUGAGAGGACGAUCAGCCACACUGGGACUGAGACACGGCCCAGACUCCUACGGGAGGCAGCAGUGGGGAAUAUUGGACAAUGGGGGCAACCCUGAUCCAGCCAUGCCGCGUGAGUGAUGAAGGCCUUCGGGUUGUAAAGCUCUUUUGGCGGGGACGAUGAUGACGGUACCCGCAGAUAAGCCCCGGCUAACUUCGUGCCAGCAGCCGC
rnacentral:rRNA from 1 species